AUUGAACGCUGGCGGCAGGCCUAACACAUGCAAGUCGAACGGUAACAGGAAACAGCUUGCUGUUUCGCUGACGAGUGGCGGACGGGUGAGUAAUGUCUGGGAAACUGCCUGAUGGAGGGGGAUAACUACUGGAAACGGUAGCUAAUACCGCAUACGUCGCAAGACCAAAGAGGGGGACCUUCGGGCCUCUUGCCAUCGGAUGUGCCCAGAUGGGAUUAGCUAGUAGGUGGGGUAACGGCUCACCUAGGCGACGAUCCCUAGCUGGUCUGAGAGGAUGACCAGCCACACUGGAACUGAGACACGGUCCAGACUCCUACGGGAGGCAGCAGUGGGGAAUAUUGCACAAUGGGCGCAAGCCUGAUGCAGCCAUGCCGCGUGUAUGAAGAAGGCCUUCGGGUUGUAAAGUACUUUCAGCGGGGAUGAAGGGAGUAAAGUUAAUACCUUUGCUCAUUGACGUUACCCGCAGAAGAAGCACCGGCUAACUCCGUG
rnacentral:rRNA from 1 species